UGGGAUGUAUCGAACCGUGGGUCAAAAAUCGUGAUGCAAACCGAAUCGUGAAUUUGUGUAUCGUUACAGCCCUAGUGUAGAUGGUAUCGAAACGGAGAUGGUGAGUGACUCAGGUGAGGAGAAGGGAGUUGAGAAAAAGGUAGAUGUCAAAAUGAUAGUCCGGUUUGCUGAGGAGGGAGGAAUAGGAAAACUGAACCUGUUAAAGCUAACAAAGGAGUUGACAGGAAAAUCCGGUGAUAUAAAGUUUGCUAGGGUUUUAGGAGAUGGAAAUCUGUUGAUUGGUUGCUCGGAUGAGCUUCAGGUAGUUCUGACAAAGCAACUAACAAUGGUUGGUGUUAACAAAGUGGUGAAGGUGGUGCAGGUUGGAAUGCAGAGAGAGAAACGUUGCAAAGGGGUGAUAACAGGAAUCUCUCUGGAUAUUGAGGAGCAGGAGAUUAAGGAGAACUUGGUGGCCAAAGGCAUAGAAGUGAUUAGUAUUAAGAGGAUGACAAGGGGCCCUGAAAAGGAAAUGAGUGAAACUGUAUUGGUGGAGCUUAAAGGAGAAGUAUUACCAGAUAGAGUAUUUCUAGGGUUCCUAUGUUUCUAUGUGAGGGCAUACAUACCUAAGCCAAUGAGGUGCUUUCAGUGUCAAAGAUUUGGGCCCAUCGCUAAAAUCUGUAAGGAAAAGAAGAGGUGUGCGAAAUGCUCAGGGGAUCAUGAGUAUGGGAAGUGUGAGGGGGCAAAGUGAAAAUGUUGUCGUUGUGGGGGUGAACAUGUCGUCACUUUUGGAGGCUGUGAAAUAAUGAAAGAGGAAGUUGCAGUUCAGAAGGUAAAAGUGUUGGACAAAGUGACCUGUGCAGAAGCAGUGAAGGUGGUAAAACAGAGGCACGGUGCUAAGAGCCAGGGAAUGGGAGAAGCCUGGGGAGGCGGAAGGAAAGUGACAAGGGAGUCGGUGGAAGAGCAGCAAGAUAGGAACAAAGUGUGGGUAGAUAAGAAGCAGGUGGUUUUUUGUUGCAGCAGUGAUAAACUUCACUAGAGACUCCACAUCCAAGACAACGAGCAUACAGAUAAUAGCUAAGGCAGCCAAGGAUUAUUUGGGGAUGGAAGAGUUAAAAUGGGAGGCUUUGGUAGCCGAGAUAAAGACUACAGAGUAGUCAGGAGCCGGUGAGAAAACAUCAUAACCAUGGUGAAAAUUAUACAGUGGAAUGCUAGGAGCUUGGUGGCAAAUGGCCCGGAGUUUAAAUAUUUUUUAAGAGAAAUUAAAGGAAAACCACAAGUAAUAUGCAUUCAAGAAACAUUUUUGAAACCAGUGUUAGAUUUAGUUAUUUAUGGAUACAUAGGUAUAAGAAGAGACAGGUGUGAAGGGGCUGGUGGAGGAUGUGUAACAUUUAUUAAGCUAGGUAUAUCAUACAGGGUAUUAGAAAUUGGAACGGAACAAGAGUAUAUAGUGGUGGAGGUAUGGGUAGAGGAGUUUGUUGUUGUUAAUUACUAUAAUCCAUGUAAAAGGUUAGAGAAUGAUAAACUAGUUGGGAUUAAAGGUAUAGAAAGACACAAGAUAAUAUGGUGUGCAGACUUCAAUGCACAUAACACAAUGUGGGGAGGGAAUCACACGGACACGAAUGGAAAAGUAAUUGAAGAGUUAAUGGAGGACAAGAAUCUUGUUUGUUUGAAUGAUGGGAGGGGGACAAGGAUGGAUAUAAGAACAAGUAAUGAGUCAGUGUUGGAUCUGACGUUGGUGUCAGUAAGUUUGGCAGGGAUCAGUAACUGGGAGGUUUUGACAGGUAAAUCUUUAGGAAGUGACCACUAUGUGUUAGUUUGUUCAGUAGGAGGAAGAGGAGAAGUGAGUGUUGGAAAUGGAAUUCAGAAUUGGGUGUAUAGUAAAGCAGAAUGGGAUACAUUUAAGUUGUAAAUAACAGUGUUACAUCAGCAAUUAUUGCUGCAGCAAGUAAAUCCAUUCCAAGAAGUAAAAGUAGAAGGGAUAGGAAGUUAGUUCCUUGGUGGACCGAGUGUUCCAAGGCAGUUAAAGCCCGAAACAAAGCAUUUAAGAAAGUUAAAAGAGAGCAUAAUACAAAGUCUGGUGGAGUAUCAGAUGGCACAGGCACUGGUAAAGAGUUACAAAGAGAACACAGAGGGUAAGCUGGAGACAGUUUUGUGGUAAGAUAGGAAGAACAACACCGGUAGGAGAAGUGUGGGGAAUGAUAAGGAAGAUGGGAGGAGAUAGAAGAGAGUGGGAGUACCCAGUUAUUACAUUAGAGGAGCAAACUGCAAUAUGUGAUAAAGAUAAGGCUGAUUUGAUGGCCAAAUCUUUUGCCAAGGUGCAUAGUGUUGAUCAUUUGACAGUGGAAGGGAGAAGGAGAAGAGAAAUUACUUUGAGUAAUUAUCCUGAUGUGCUAGUUAGGAGAGUAGAUACUAGGGAGGAAAUAGAUGAUGGAGGUACAAUGGCAGAGCUUGUGAGAGCAAUUAAAAAAGCAAAGCCCUCAUUUCCAGGGGGAGAUCAGGUGAGCUAUGUAAUGUUAAAACAUCUAGGAGAAAGAGGAAUGGUAAAAUUGUUAGAACUAUAUAAUAAGAGUGUGGGUGGAGGGAAAGAUACCAAGUGUUUGGAAGGAAGCGGUGGUGAUUCCGAUUAGGAAACCAGGGAAAGAUCCAGGUAAACCUUCUAGUUAUAGGCCAAUAGCGUUAAUGUCUAUGUAAAAUAAUGGAGAGAUUGGUGACAGAUAGGUUAACGUAUGAGCUUGAGAAGAAAGGGUUGUUGUCAAAGUGGUUUCAGAAAAGGGAGGCAUACAAUGGAUGCAGUGGUAAGGCUUGAAAAUGAGACACGGAAAGCACAGGCAAACAAAGUCAGUAGCGGUAGUGUUUUUUGAUAUCGAAAAAGCAUAUGGCAUGAUGUGGAAGGAAGGUUUGUUAAUUAAGUUGAACAAGAUGGGAGUAGGUGGAAGGGUUUUUAACUGGAUAAAGAAUUUUUUGUUUGACAGAAAAAUACAAGUCCGGAUUGUGUCUGAAAUGUCAAAUAAGUAUAUGGUGGGGAAUGGCUCUCCCCAAGGAAGUGUAAUUAGUCCUUUAUUGUUUAUAAUCAUGAUAAAUGAUGUUUUUUCAAAGGUGCCAGAGGAUAUAGGAAGUUCACUCUUUGCAGACGAUGGGGCUUUGUGGAAAAGGGGAAGAAAUGUGAUGCAUAUUAUUAGUAAAGUCCAGUCUGCAAUUGAUGGGGUGACUGAGUGGGGAUUUGACUGGGGGUGCAGAUUUUCAGUAGAGAAAACUCAAAACUAUUUUUCACAAGGAAAAGAAUUGAGGAUGGGAUGA
ensembl:lncRNA